CGGGUGCUUACACAUGCAAGUCGAACGAUGAUCAGGAGCUUGCUCCUGUGAUUAGUGGCGAACGGGUGAGUAACACGUGAGUAACCUGCCCCUGACUCUGGGAUAAGCGUUGGAAACGACGUCUAAUACUGGAUAUGACGGCCGAUCGCAUGGUCUGGUCGUGGAAAGAAUUUUGGUUGGGGAUGGACUCGCGGCCUAUCAGGUAGUUGGUGAGGUAAUGGCUCACCAAGCCGACGACGGGUAGCCGGCCUGAGAGGGUGACCGGCCACACUGGGACUGAGACACGGCCAGACUCCUACGGGAGGCAGCAGUGGGGAAUAUUGCACAAUGGGCGCAAGCCUGAUGCAGCAACGCCGCGUGAGGGAUGACGGCCUUCGGGUUGUAAACCUCUUUUAGUAGGAAGAAGCGCAAAGUGACGGUACCUGCAGAAAAAGCACCGGCUAACUACGUGACAGACAGCGCGGUAAUACGUAGGGUGCAAAGCGUUGAUCACGGAAUUAUUGGGGUAAAAGAG
rnacentral:rRNA from 1 species